AACGAACGCUGGCGGCAGGCCUAACACAUGCAAGUCGAACGAGAAGCCACCUUGGGUGGUGGACAGUGGCAGACGGGUGAGUAACGCGUGGGAACGUGCCUUUCGGUUCGGGAUAACCCAGGGAAACUUGGGCUAAUACCGGAUACGCCCUCCGGGGAAGAUCAUUGCCGAAAGAUCGGCCCGCGUCGGAUUAGCUAGUUGGUGGGGUAAAGCCUACCAAGGCGACGAUCCGUAGCUGGUCUGAGAGGAUGACCAGCCACACUGGAC
rnacentral:rRNA from 1 species